UGCCUUGCUUUGUGGCCGGUUGUUGUGU
rnacentral:piRNA from 1 species